AUUGAACGCUGGCGGCAUGCCUUACACAUGCCAGUCGAACGGCAGCACGGGUGCUUGCACCUGGUGGCGAGUGGCGAACGGGUGAGUAAUACAUCGGAACAUGUCCUGUAGUGGGGGAUAGCCCGGCGAAAGCCGGAUUAAUACCGCAUACGAUCUACGGAUGAAAGCGGGGGCCCUUCGGGCCUCGCGCUAUAGGGUUGGCCGAUGGCUGAUUAGCUAGUUGGUGGGGUAAAGGCCUACAAAGGCGACGAUCAGUAGCUGGUCUGAGAGGACGACCAGCCACACUGGGACUGAGACACGGCCCAGACUCCUACGGGAGGCAGCAGUGGGGAAUUUUGGACAAUGGGCGAAAGCCUGAUCCAGCAAUGCCGCGUGUGUGAAGAAGGCCUUCGGGUUGUAAAGCACUUUUGUCCGGAAAGAAAUCCUUGGCCCUAAUACGGGCGGGGGAUGACGGUACCGGAAGAAUAAGCACCGGCUAACUACGUG
rnacentral:rRNA from 1 species